AGGCGGAGGGCGACACCUCCGGGUAAAAGUGAGGCGUUGCAGGAGGCGGACUAAGCCCAGGGCGAGCGGCGCGAGAGCAGUCAAGGUUCCUGUCCACCUUGAGGGGGCUAGGAUGGCUGAGGAGUCGAUGCGCGGUAGAGUCGAAUCCGAGGCUGGUUUUGAGGCAGUGAAGCCUGAAGAAUCUAAGGUGUCUUCACCGAAGACUGCCGAUGUUGUCGCAACGUCAUCGAAGGCGGAGGACUACAAUAGCAAGUGCGUGUUCUGCCGGAUCGCGGCGAAGCAGGAACCCGGCACCGAGCUCCUGUACUGCGAGAAUGAAGAUCUAGUCUGCUUCAAAGAUAUCAGACCAGCAGCACCUCAUCAUUAUCUUGUGGUGCCAAAGAAGCAUCUUGGAAACUGUAGAGAGCUAAAGAAAGAUCAUAUAGAACUGGUUGAGAGCAUGGUGACUGUUGGAAAAACUAUUCUUGAAAGGAAUAAUUUCACUGACUUCAAAAAUGCGAGAAUGGGUUUCCACAUGCCGCCGUUUUGUUCCAUCUCCCACUUGCACCUUCAUGUGCUGGCACCUGUUGAUCAACUUGGCUUCUUAUCAAAAUUGGUUUAUAGAGUGAAUUCCUAUUGGUUUAUCACAGCUGACUGUUUGAUUGAAAAACUAAGAAUAUGAAAAUGUCAACAGUGGAAGAUUUUCCUAAUCUUGGCUCAACAUAAACUAAUAUUUUCAUUCUUUUGAAGUCUAAUUACAAUUGUAAGGUUCAUUGGGUUUUAUGAGAGGCUAUUACUGGCUAGCCUUAAAUCUUUUCUGAAUGUCUGUUUCCUGAGAUAUGUGAUACAAUUCCAUGGAUACUUUGUCAUUGACGUCUUUAUUUUAAUGGUUACUUGUUUAAGGUAUAAAAUACUAUAGAUAAAAUCCCAUUAAAACAAAUCCUGUUAAUUAGGAAGGGCUAUUUUUUCAAAAAGUUUAAAUAUUUUCAUUUCUCAGUAGUCUAUUAUAAUAGUGAUUUAUUUAUGAAGAAUAAACUGGUAUGGAAAGUACUUUAUUGGAGCCUUUAUUACUAUGAAGGGGAGACAGAAAUUAACUAUUUCUUUACAUACAAAAUUUCAAAAUGAAAAGUGCCAUACUACAUAGUGACUUAUGUUCUUGUUGAUAGAAAGAAUCGUCUUGUGUCACUUUUUAAUCAGAUUUCAGAUGCUGGUUUUCACUUCUUGAAGCCUAACAUUUUUGUGAUAAAUUGUUCCUGAAAGCUAUAAAAUAAACAUAAAUUCUAAUGGUGGAUUUAUAAGAACAAUUUGGCUAUCCAAGAGAAUUCACUGUAAUGGCAUUUUACCUGCAAGAACAUAAAUGGGGAAGAAACAUAAAACGGUUAUCAUAAUAUAUUUACAAACUCGUGGAAAUUAUUGUUUUAUGAUUUAUUGUACCAAAGGAAAAGUAGAAUUAAAAAGUUUUAGUCCUGGCUUUUAUCAUGAAGAAAUCCUGAUUUGAAAGUAGAAACAGAUAAGCUUGGAUGAGAAAAUUUAAUAGCUCAAUGUUAGCAUUACUGAUACAUCAUUUUGUGAGACAUAUUUCUUUAAGGAUUGUGCUGAUCUACAUUAAUAGUGAAUGUGAAUAAAGAGUAAGAUACUGAAAGCUGA